rfam:Triticum aestivum genome assembly, contig: Triticum_aestivum_CS42_TGACv1_scaffold_557520_7AL
UGUGUACUCCCUCCGUUCCAAAAUACUUGACUUCCAUUUGUCCAAAAAUGGAUGUACCUAUAUACUAAUACAUGUCUAGAUACAUAUAUAUUUUGACAAAUAGAAGGCAUGCAGUAUUGUGCAACGGAGGGAGUAGAAU